AUCCAGCUGACGAGUCCCAGAUAGGACUAAACGUGCGUCCAGGAU
rnacentral:hammerhead_ribozyme from 1 species